rnacentral:rRNA from 1 species
CUACGGGAGGCAGCAGUGAGGAAUAUUGGGCAAUGGGCGAGAGCCUGACCCGGCAACGCCGCGUGGAGGAAGACGGCCUUCGGGUUGUAAACUCCUUUUGACGGGGAAGAGAGAGGACGGUACCCGUCGAAUAAGUCACGGCUAACUACGUGCCAGCAGCCGCGGUAAUACGUAGGUGGCGAACGUUAUCCGGAAUCACUGGGCGUAAAGGGUCCGCAGGUGGCAUGUCAAGUCGAUUGUGAAAGCUCCCGGCUCAACUGGGAGAGGACGGUCGAAACUGGCAAACUAGAGUCCGACAGAGGUCGGCGGAAUUCCCGGUGUAGUGGUGGAAUGCGUAGAUAUCGGGAGGAACGCCAAAAGCGAAAGCAGCCGGCUGGGUCGAGACUGACACUGAGGGACGAAAGCGUGGGUAGCGAACAGGAUUAGAUACCCGUGUAGUCC